UGAAGAUGGAAACCAUCAUUCUCAGCAAACUAACACAGGAACAGAAAACCAAACACUUUCCCAUGGACAGCUCUUCAGAAACUCAUGAAGACAUAAGGUUCUUCAAAAGAGGAGACUUUCAGAACAUGAGCAGGGAAAUUAUCACUUGAUAGAUGACAAGCAUUGUGGGAAACAAUAGUUUGCCCUCCUUCAUUCCCUUCCUGGUUAUCUUUCCUGUCACAUGAAGAAGAAAUGAAACACCAGAGAGAAUCAAGUUAUCAUCAUCUACACCAGUCACUGUCACUGGUUAAGUAUUGGUUUAAUAGUCCAUUCUUCAUAUAAGAUGGUACCUGACCCACCAGUCACUGUACAUGCAUUUUGAAUUGUUUCACACACGUGGCAUUGCAGAAAUGUCUUGGUCACUGUGGGGGCUGCUACUCUAAAGCAGGAGUUUUCAGUCUUCAUUGUUCUUGUUGCAGAACCCUUUGUUUAGAAGCCCAAGAUGUAAAACAGAUGAAAACAGAGCUGCUUUGUUAGAAACAGGCACAUGAGAGGGAUCACAGUGUUUCUCUUUAGCUCCUCUGAGGACUUUGAAGACCCUUGCUCUAAUGCAACUCUGACUUGUUGAUUGCAGCAAGAUUUAGGAACACUAUGAGUUUGUCCUGAAAGGAGACUCUCCAAGUGGGGAGACACAGAUGAUUAAGGGGCUCUGUCUCUGUUUCCUUUAGUUUCAUAUUCAUCUUAGUUCUUGCACAUGUCAGAUCCACUCUCAUCCUCAUGACAUACUCCUGGUAAAUCAUAGGCCCUGAGUUUCUCAUUACAGAGCUGAUUGGUUGUAAUUUCCUGCAACUAAAAGCCAAGUGAUUACACCCCAAACUUUAAGUUCAAGGAAGGAUGGAGAUUAGGCUUGUUUUCUUUAGGUGUCAUCCCCAUUGUAUAAUGUGCCUGGCGUACACUGGAAAUUCAAUAAAUAUAUGUGGACAGAAUUGAAUGAAGGCACACAUGGACAACCAAGAGACAUGAAGAAAUAUAAAGAGUGCAAUAAAUUAAGUGCAUAGCUUUCUAGAGCA